CGCACCUCGCACAUUUAUGUAGUAGUUGUUGGAGGAGGAGAGCGCGCUUCCACACUCGGCGCAAAGAUAGUAAAGGAAUUGCGUCACCCUGGGUGAAAACACCCACAACCAGUGAGCAAAGAAAGCUUUUAAACGUACACUACUAGUACGUUUGGGAAGGCUCGGCAGUGACCAGCUUCCUUCUCAAGCGACCCCAACCUUUCAAGAUUGAUUUUCAGCCGUCUUCGUCGAAUCCAAUUCCACGAUGCAUCGUCAGAAGGCAGCACCAAAACUGAGGCUGGAGCCCCUAGAAAUAUUACAGGGCAAGGAACCCACU